CUACAAAAUGACUCUCGGCAACGGAUAUCUCGGCUCUUGCAUCGAUGAAGAACGUAGCGAAAUGCGAUACUUGGUGUGAAUUGCAGAAUCCCGUGAACCAUCGAGUCUUUGAACGCAAGUUGCGCCCGAAGCCAUUAGGUUGAGGGCACGCCUGCCUGGGUGUCACAC
rnacentral:rRNA from 1 species